AUGAACGCUGGCGGCGUGCCUAAUACAUGCAAGUCGAGCGAACAGACGAGGAGCUUGCUCCUCUGACGUUAGCGGCGGACGGGUGAGUAACACGUGGAUAACCUACCUAUAAGACUGGGAUAACUUCGGGAAACCGGAGCUAAUACCGGAUAAUAUAUUGAACCGCAUGGUUCAAUAGUGAAAGACGGUUUUGCUGUCACUUAUAGAUGGAUCCUCGCCGCAUUAGCUAGUUGGUAAGGUAACGGCUUACCAAGGCAACGAUGCGUAGCCGACCUGAGAGGGUGAUCGGCCACACUGGAACUGAGACACGGUCCAGACUCCUACGGGAGGCAGCAGUAGGGAAUCUUCCGCAAUGGGCGAAAGCCUGACGGAGCAACGCCGCGUGAGUGAUGAAGGUCUUCGGAUCGUAAAACUCUGUUAUUAGGGAAGAACAAAUGUGUAAGUAACUAUGCACGUCUUGACGGUACCUAAUCAGAAAGCCACGGCUAACUACGUG
rnacentral:rRNA from 1 species